CUAUGUAUUACGGACAUUUUUAUGUGAUACUUUCUUGACAAUGUAAAUUUAAACAUUCGCUACGCAAACGUAAGCAAUGAUGGAAGCAACAGGAUUUUUGGGAAAUGCCACUGGUCUUCAAAUCAGCUGUUAUCAGAUGGUAGAUGAAUAAUGUGCUUUGUAGGAAUCGCAGUUUCAUGUUUCCACAAUAUGUAUAUCAACCUUUGAAGACAAAAAUACCAAUAGACAGAUAUUAUAUCAAUGUGUCAGUGUUUAUUGUAGUACCCAUAAUAUGGGAUAAUAACUCAUAUAACUCUUUCAUCAUUUCAUGAUUUGGGCCGAUUAUUGUGUGCAUAAACACAGUUUAAUAUUAUCGACAAAACACGAAAGCGUGAGUUGGAACCGGAGUUGUCAAAUCGAUAGAAAUACAUGAUAACGUCUUACUUUUAAGUUCUUUUUUCACGCAGUGGAAAGGAAAUUAAUUUAAAUGUUAUGUUUUGCCGAUUAAAAAUAAGUAAUUUUAUUUGGACACAACUUUUCUUUUAUUUCAUGCAAAUGGAUUCAAUCCAUCGGUCUGUCAUCUGUCAUUUGAGAUUGAAAAAAGAAAAAAUUCGGCCGUUUCACAUAAAUACUGGCAUAUUUUUUGUCACGCUCAGGACUAACAGGAAUUGUGUCGAAACCCCUGACCAAGUCAUUUUAUUUUGCUGUAAAUUUACGUUCACGCUUGCUAGAAUACAAACAAAAAAUGUUUUUGUUACCAUGGACGAAGGCAAUAAGAAGUGACCUCGAUCUUGUUAACUUCAAACAUUAAAAGUUCUGAUAUCAAAAUGUAAUAUAUCUACUUAAUAAAUACACUUGCUAUAUUUUGUACAUUCAAA